rnacentral:rRNA from 1 species
GAUGAACGCUGGCGGCGUGCCUAAUACAUGCAAGUCGAGCGAACAGAUGAGGAGCUUGCUCCUCUGACGUUAGCGGCGGACGGGUGAGUAACACGUGGAUAACCUACCUAUAAGACUGGGAUAACUUCGGGAAACCGGAGCUAAUACCGGAUAAUAUAUUGAACCGCAUGGUUCAAUAGUGAAAGACGGUUUUGCUGUCACUUAUAGAUGGAUCCGCGCCGCAUUAGCUAGUUGGUAAGGUAACGGCUUACCAAGGCAACGAUGCGUAGCCGACCUGAGAGGGUGAUCGGCCACACUGGAACUGAGACGCGGUCCAGAAUCCUACGUGAGACAGCAGUAGGGAAUCUUCGGCAAGGGGCGAAAGCCUGACGGAGCAACGCCGCGUGAGUGAUGAAGGUCUUCGGAUCGUAAAACUCUGUUAUGAGGGAAGAACAAAUGUGUAAGUAACUAUGCACGUCUUGACGGUACCUAAUCAGAAAGCCACGGCUAACUACGUG